AUUGAACGCUGGCGGCAGGCCUAACACAUGCAAGUAGAACGAGUGGCGGACGGGUGAGUAAUGUCUGGGAAACUGCCCGAUGGAGGGGGAUAACUACUGGAAAAGGUAGCUAAUACCGCAUACCAUCGGAUGUGCCCAGAUGCGAUUAGCUAGUAGGUGGGGUAACGGCUAACCUAGGCGACGAACCCUAGCGGGUCUGAGAGGAUGACCAGCCACACUGACACUGAGACACGUUCCAGCCUCCGACGGGAGGCAGCAGGGGGGAAUAUUGCACUAUGGGAGCAAGCCUGAUGCAGCCAUGCCGCGUGUAUGAAGAGGGCCUUCGGGUUGUAAAGUACUUUCAGCGAGGAGGCGUUACUCGCAGAAUAAGCACCGGCUAACUCCGUGCCAGCAGCCGCGGUAAUUC
rnacentral:rRNA from 1 species